rfam:Schistosoma rodhaini strain Burundi genome assembly, scaffold: SROB_scaffold0017056
AUCCAGCUGACCAGUCCUAAAUAGGACGAAAUACACUUCGUGCAU